UUGACCCUCCCUUGGCGAAUAGAUACCCGGGAAGGUGCCCGGGGUUUCCCCUCGGCUUCCCGGACAUCUAAAGGCCUCUCCCCUAGUUUGGGAAUCCGGGUGGUUCUCCCGGGCGGGGAAGUUCGUUUCCUCCUCCCUUCCCCCUGCCCGCAGCAUUGGGGGAGACCCCGAGGCAUUCACCGUGGGCUUUUCCGCCCGCUCGAGUGCGGGAACCACCUCCAUAGUUUCCUCUCCCUGCCCUGCGCGGGGCGGGCCGGGCCUGCGAAGAAGACGCGGGGCCCUAAGGCGGGCAGGCGGCGGGCCGGAGCCGGGAAGCGCGGAGGCGGCGCUGGGCUGCGGCGGCCGAGGGGUUUCCCCACCACAGCCUCGGGCUCGGGGAGGCGGGAUCCCGCCAAGGCGGGGUCCCUGAGGGAGGAGAACGGCACCCGACAGCCGAGAUCGCCCUCCUGCCUGCCGAAGGAACAUUCCACUUCUCCCGGCGGGUCGACCCCCUUAUGGGAAUCCCCCGCACCCCACCCCACCCCCUCCCUCGUCAACGGAGCCUCCUCGGAGCCCGCCCCCCCCCCCCCACCUCCGGCCUUCCGGAGCCACCACCUGCCGCCAGGAGGCCAGGGCGAGAGGGAACGCAUCCUACAAAGCUAACAAAAAUAAGGAAUGGGGCCAGGCGUAAUGAGUGUGUGAGAAGCCGCCGGGGAAGUCAUCCUACUGGUUUUGAAGGCGCUUGACAUAAAUUCUAUUUUCACCUCGCACGGCGGAGCGCUGUAAGCAGCUCUCCAGAGCCCUUUGGGAUGUGUGCCACCCUCCAGACGUGUCCUCCUCGCUGGGUGGUUAACACCAGGGGUUUGAUGGGCUCAUGCUGCGUGAGCCCCUGCUUCCCGCUGCCUCCCAGGCGGGCCGGACGGGCAAGACCCUCCCCUGACGUUGCAUCUGCGAAGAGGCUGGACCAACCCAUGUCUCCUAUUGGGACCAUCAGGUGUACGUUCGGAGGAAAUGAGAGCACGGGCUGCUUGGAAAUCGGUCCCUAAGGCAGAUGAUGGUGAACCAGACGGAAGCUGAGCCCCGCCCGCUCCCGCCGCCCGCGCCCGGGCCGUGGUGCGUGACGCGGCGCGAGGGUGGCCGCCGCUGCACAAUGGCCCCGGCACCCGCCCCGCGCCGCCGCCGCCCGCCCGCCCGCCCGCCGGGGAAGGGAGCCACCUAGUGAGCGGUUGCUCUCCUCUCCGGUUCUUCCACCAGGAGAGCCCAGAGAUGGCGAUUUCCUAGGACUGCCUAUUACCCCAAACACCCUGCGCUUCUCUCCUGAAAUGUAUUGGCUAGAAUUUAAAAUGAUUUUAGCCAGAAUAAAACUUUUGUGAUGUAAAAUAAUCACCCCUUUGGUAAUCAUCAUCAUGAUCCCUUCUUUGUGGCCCCUAUCUCCAGGGAACGGCACAUGAGCAUGUAUUGUGACACUCCUGAUAAGCAACCUAGGAAAAUAUUACUCUCUCCUGAUUUUGGAAAUAAGGAGACUAGGAUAAAAAAAAAAAAAAAAAAAAAAAAGAUGACUCCUUGUCCCAGCCGGUUUGGCUCAGUGGAUAGAGAGUCGGCCUGGUUCGAUUCCCGUCAAGGGCAUAUGUCCGGGUUGCGGGCUCCAUCCCCAGUAGCGGGUGUGCAGGAGGCAGCCAAUCAAUGAUUCUCAUCACUGAUGUUUCUCUCUCUCUCUCCCUUUCUCUCUGAAAUCAAUGAAAAUAUAUAUUUUUUAAAAAGAUGAA